rnacentral:rRNA from 1 species
UACGAAGGGGGCUAGCGUUGCUCGGAAUCACUGGGCGUAAAGGGUGCGUAGGCGGGUCUUUAAGUCAGGGGGGAAAUCCUGGAGCUCAACUCCAGAACUGCCUUUGAUACUGAGGAUCUUGAGUUCGGGAGAGGUGAGUGGAACUGCGAGCGUAGAGGUGAAAUUCGUAGAUAUUCGCAAGAACACCAGUGGCGAAGGCGGCUCACUGGCCCGAUACUGACGCUGAGGCACGAAAGCGUGGGGAGCAAACAGG